CUGUCGAAAUGCAGGAAAAUAAAGGAUAAAUGGUAAAAUCGUGAAAGUCAGCCACAACCAUGCGCAUAAAUGAAAACUUAUAGAUUCAUAGCGAAUAAUAGCGUGUAGAAAUAGUAGAAAUGUCUGAUAAGGCAUAAAAACAAGUUUUGCCUAGCACUGAUAGAAGGGAGAAAGGAAGGGGUAAUGAAACAACCCCUAGUGGUGAAAC